rnacentral:lncRNA from 1 species
CCCAGCACUUGGGAGGCUGAGGCAAGAGGAUCAAGGCUUCUAGCCUAUGAUACACAACAAGACCCUGUUUCAAAGAAAACAAGAAAGCUAGAACUGGGCUGUAGCUCACAUAGUUCUAAUACUGAAGAAUCUGAGACAAGAUAAAUACCACAAAGUUGAGGCCAGGCAUGGUUACAGUGAGUUUGAGGUACAGCCUGGGCCAGACAAUGUGAGACCUUAUCUCAAAAAGUGAGAGAAAGAAAGGGGGGACUUGGAAUGCAGCCUAGUUGGUAGACAACUUACCUAAUAUGUACUAAGUUCUGGGUUAAAUCACAAGCAUCACAUAAAACCUGGAUGUGAUGGGACUCUGUAAGCUUGUAAUCCCAGUAUUCAGGAAUUGGAGCUAGGAGGAUCAGACGUUCAAGGCCGUCCUCAGCUAUGGAUCUCUAGAUAAGACCUGGUCUCAAUUUUAAAAAGGAAUAGGGAGGAAGGAAGUCUAAUAGCUAUAAAGGAACUAAAAGACUAGACAUAUCUAAGCUUAGGAUCUCUUGGAUUCUCAUCAGAAGCCCCCAUAGUUCCUUGCACAAAGAUAGCUACUGUGGUGGUUUGAAUAAGAAUGGCCCCACAGGCCCAUAUAUUUAAAGAUUAGUCAACAGGGAAAAGGAAUUCUUGAGAAGGAUUAAAAGGUGUAGCCUUGUUGGAGGAAGUAUGUCACUGGGGGUGGACUUGAAGUUUUAGAAGCCCAAGUCAGGCCCAGUGUCCCUUUCUCCCUCUCUUUUCCUGCUGCCUGUGGAUCCGGAUAUAGAACUCUCAGGUACUUCUCCAGCACGAUGUCUGUCUGCCUGCUGCCAUGCUUCCUGCCACAAUAAUAAUGAACUAAACCUCUACAACAGACAAAGCCACCCUUCCCAAAGAUGCCUACCAAGACAAGUGGGACUCCUUUGGCAGACCAAAGUAAAACCCACUCCUUUUGUGAGGCUGGGGAUCUUCUAUCCAGAGGCAGGGGAUGGAUCCUGGCCACUUUCUUA